rnacentral:SRP_RNA from 1 species
CUGCGGAUCCCUGGAUGGCAGCCUCGGUGCAUAGGUUUUGUGCGGAUAGCGGGUCUGUCUGAAGCCAGACGUCUAUGGUCCCAGCUGCUGGUUGAGAGCUAGGCCGGAGUGUACUGCCCGAGGCGGGAAACUGAGCAGCCAGCA